CCUCACCAGACGUAACAAUGGACAUUGACUUUCACUGGGUGGAACUAAUCACAAAUGUACACCACCAACUUGGAACUGUAUUUAAAUUGCUUGUCCUGCCACAUUAAAGAUUUUUUGCUCCAAGGACAUCAGUGAGACUGGCCACCUUGCUGACUGUCCCGGACUGAUUCCACCAUUCUCUGACAUCCAGCCAUUGGCUGGAGAGAACCACCAGACAAGGACAAGUCUGCUCUUUGGGGGAAUUCCAGCUUUGGGGACUACACCACAAUUGGCCAGUAAAAGCUGACUGUCUUGUUGAACCACCUGGAUUGGGACAAGCAGAUGCAUCUCUUCCUACAAGUUCAGGUUAAAUACUGAGGAGUGGUCCAACAAGGCUGAAUUUCAACCACAGUAGGUGCUAGAAGACCCAAGGACAUCAUCAUCGUCAACUUUCUUGACCUUCAACCAUCACCGUCCCAGAGAUAGGGGAGAAAACCUUCUCCCCUGCCAUCCAGAUCCCGUGUCCCCCUGCAUGGAGAAGAUACUCCCUAUCCCCCAAAUUUCCACAUAUAUUCCUGAAACUCCAAAUUAUUCCCACCCUGACUUCUCCCCUGGACACCAGAGUCACAGACUUAACUCCCCAGUUCCUCUUGGAUGCCUAAUAGCAUGUCCAACUUAAUAAAACCGCCUAAAAAUUCUCAA